UUUUGAUGAAUCAUGGAGUCAACUUCAUGUAUGGCUUCUUUAUAUCCCACCUACAAUUUGUAUGACAGAGGAGAUGACAGAAGUUAGUGCUUUGGUGCUCACCAGCACGAUGCUGAAAGGCACAUUUCUCCCCAUCUAUUGCUUCUCUUCCAACGUGAUCGACUGUAGGAUGUUGAGAAAACUCUCAACCUGAGGUCAAACGUUAAGCAAGAUAGUCGGAUGUUGGCCAGACUCCAAAAUGACACAUUUGAGUGGAAAUCACACGGCAGAGCUCAACCCUUCGACCGCAAAUGCUUCUCUACCUUCCACCGAAAGAAGUCGAAAGAGGAGGAGGUGCUACGUUUAGGAGAAAUCAGUGUGAUCGAUAGAUGUGUCUAUUAACAUUCGAUCUAAAUGGAGUGAAUUCAUGUGUUCCGAGAGGAUGACAGCGUGAGUUUGAUCGUGCGUCAUAAAGAAUUCCAGAUUCCCUUUGUGUUACAGAAUAAUCUUUAUAGAACAAAAAGGUCAGUAUAUGUUCGAAGGAUUGCUUCGUUUUCACCUGUUACUGUAAGCAAAGAAAAGAAAGAAAAAGAUCUCUCUCCAUUAUCAUCUCCCUCCCUCCUCUCUUUUUUUGCCUCCUUCAGUUGUUGGUAGGAUGCUUGGCUGUUUGUGGCAGGAAUCCAGUUCUCUCCUCGGUGGGACACGAGGUGGGCCAAACGAGAACUUCCAUCUCCUUUUUCCAUGUCUUCUUCUCAUCCUUUUCCUCACCCCAUUCGGUAGUGCCUUGUAUUAUUGCGAGCACAUCUGCAAGCAGAUGUUUCUUUCACCCACCCUGCCUUUUCCCCACCUUCCGCACGACCCAACAAGCCUAGCCAAUGUGGACAUUUCUGCUGGUAUCUGAGCUUUUGGUCCUACUUCAAUCCGCUAAACUUUUAUGCUUGUCUAAGUAGAUCCAGGAAUCAGAAGAAGGUGUAGCUCCGAAGGAAGCCGAUGCAGAAUCUAAGCAAAAGAAGACUCACCAAGCCACCAUAUCUAAGCCAAGAUUACUAAUUUCUAGUGUUACAUCAGCAAGGACGCACUCCUGAGUUCCUCUUCACCAUCUUCCUUCUACUCUGCAAAAUUGCAGUUGCUCGAUUUGCUUCUCUAAGAGGUCUCAUGGAAGUUCAGAGAUCGAGACAGCGCAGCAGGGUUGGCAUGCAGCAGUGAUGGUGCCACCAGCACAUGGUUCUUGACGUCUACCUUCGGAUGGAAGGCCCUGAGAAGCCCUCCAUUGCUAACCGCAUUGUUCUUGCUGCGCUUGACGCCCACCAUGGUCCAUAUGGAGCUCCUUGCAGCUUCUUCAGGGUCAUCAAUCCUCAGCGUCGUCGGAGCCAAACCGCCGUCUUCUUCCGUCCGUAGACUGCUAUUGUUCAGAUUGCUUCCAUCCCUCGUGUGCUUGCCUAAGUUGCCAGUAUUGGGUGCUGCCGCUGGGUGAGAGGAAGCUAAGGGGGACAGCCAUGGAACGCUCCAAGCUCCGGAUGGAACAGCGCAACUCCAAUAAGCCGCAGCAGGAUAGAACGGGAUCGGAAAGCUGAGAGGAGCGGCUGGUGUCCAAGGAUACGGCCAGGGGGAUCCACCGAAACAUGGAAUUGGAGCAGCUGAUCCCUGAUAAUUCUGGCCACCAUUUUCGUUCGGACUAAGCAUGGAUGUCUCAGACGAAGGUAGCGGUUUUGCCUUCGCCGGCGCAUCCGUGCCAAAGCUGAGUACCGUGCCAUUUGGCUUCGGAGGGUAACGAACUGAUUCACGUGCAUUACAUCGAACGGACUGGAGGGAGGACUCCGACACGGCGAUGUGCCGGAAGUGAGACGUGCUCUUGCUCUUGCGUCGACCAGCUCCAACGGGGACGUUCCUCAUGGUGCCACCGGCGGUCCAAUACCUUUGGCAGUUCUUGCAGAAGUGCCUCGGCUGGUUGACGUUGUAGUUGUUGUAGUAGCAGAACUUGGUGUCCAAGCUUUUGCACCGAGGACAAGGGAGGAUCUUGUCCGGCUUCUUCA